rnacentral:snRNA from 1 species
GUGCUCGCUUUGGCAGCACAUAUACUAAAAUUGGGACGAUACAGAGAAGAUUAGCAUGGCCACUGCGCAAGGAUGACACACAAAUUCGUGAAGCGUUCUAUAUUUUU